ensembl:lncRNA
AGAAGAAGAAGCUGAGGGAAUCAAGCAAGAUGAAACCCUAAUUAUUUUGCUUAUUAACCAAGCCUAACUAGUUAACAGAUGUUCAAAGGUUUGCACAGCGAAUUAAUGCAUUCUUUCCUUUUUUUUCUUAAUUUCAGAUUGUUUGUCUUGUCUACAUGGUUAUCAGCGAUAAUGGCACUUGCCCGCGGGUGAAGAUCAAUAUCAUAUUAUGCAAUUGGCCCGUUCUCCUUACCAUUUCCUACCGGCUGAUAAUGAGACGACGAACCCGCUGCCCAGACGUGAACACUCAGAUGAAGUCCGGCCGACAGCCCAGCCAUGGCCACUACAUCCUGAAUCUAGGCAAAUAGGAGCCGGGCAGGCAGCCUUCGAGGGAAAGAUCCGCUCAAUUACUUCCCCAACUUUCAGCUGAGGUCUUCUUACUGACCGGCUGAAAGGAUCUGUAAUGAGAGCGGAUUUAGAAUAAAAAGAUGUGCCCGUCUACAAAAGCAGAAGGCAGCUUGCGCUCAGAUUGAUGGCUGGAAAUGGUGGGGAGGUCAAGGCGAACCUGUGAAGCGUCGCCCCGGUGAAGGAUAUGGCAGAACGGCCCAGCAGAUCCAGAGAGAAAGAUGACAUCAUGAAGACCUCUCAUUUUUCAACCCUUCCCUCCAACCAUCGGCCAUGUUCACAGAAUCAAUUAAGCAGGGAAGGGAAGGGAUCUCUGGGAAGACUGCGGGUUCGGAGAGGCCUUGAGCCCGAGCUUUGGACACCGUGGAGGUGGGAUAUCCAGUAGAUAUGAAUAAACGGGUUGAGGAGGAUGAAAGCUGUUCGGCAGAUAAAGCCAUAGCAGCCUGUCGGAAUCCUGCCACGCUGGUCCUGAUUUAUGGCCAUCUCAGUCGGACUCCCUACCAAAUCCACCCGCUGCCUUUCUUGUUCAGUGGAGAUGCCUAUGCUUGAGCUGAUAGGAUGUGGUCUGGUUCGUCACACUGAACCUGAGGACACAGCUGAUGCCUCCGAGUAGCACUCUGAUGUUCCCAGUUCCUCAUCUCUCACACAGCAUUAAAAAGUCUGGAUAAAAGUGACCCUAGAUGCCACACACAGUCACAGCGGCUCUGAAGCACCCCGCUGAGAGCUCAGAUGUCAGAGGUCGGCCUUCACCAUCAUAACCUCUACAGAAGUGUCUUCCGGUCUUUCACAGCUCUGACCUCAGUGUACUGGACCCCGCAGAUGCAUGUGACCUUCCCAUGAAGUGCAUUUGGAGAAGUCACACCGUGCUGCCACCAGUUCGGUUCUUGGAAAGCACGCCUCAAAAUUCAAUCACACACGAGCACCAUCCAGGCACCCAACUCCACCCCCUUGUUGACUUGAUUAAGUAGUCACAUUGAUCCAUCUGGAUCUGGUUCGGCUCCUGGCAGUAACCUCCAGACCUCAUUCCAACAUGCCAGUAGUUUUCACCUUUCAGUGUCAGUGCAGAGUCGGUAGCCCUGGCAGGUCUUCGAGAGCCGGGUGUCAGGACUCUAUUGAGAUGUCGAAGGUGGGGGUCCGGUGACCCGAGCAGGGAGUCUUUCACGGGGAAGGUCAUCAGUCAAUGUUCCUGUCAGACGGAGAUCACACGGAUGUCUGCGGCCCUCCGUAGUAAUUACACUUGACUGGGGAUGAGGAGAUGUCUUCUUCUUUGGGCCUACAAUGACUGCAUAAUUUAUAAUCAACGGCAAUCAGGCAAACGUGACAUUGAGGGGAAAGCAAAUGAACACUUUUGCUUGAAUCUCCUGAUGUUUCUCUUGAUGAAAAUUCGGAGUUUCAGAAGAGAUCUCAGCAGACUGUGCACAUAUUUCCAAAGUCUGCGACCAAAGGUCUCUUCAGCUGUACAAGAAUCUCACGGUGGGGAGAUUUCAGUCAUCACAUCACGUUUGUGCUGAGGUGUGUGGCGUCUCACAUGCAAUUGGCUGCAGCUCCCAUCGGCGACUGCAGCCUCUCUUCAUCCCUUCAUGGAGCUUUGCACGGGAAACGGGCGGGAAAGGGUCAGAGCGAGAGAUUCAUAGACACCAAAAGCUGACUGAGGGUGUUUUGUCAUAUUGUCCUCCUGUGGCACACGAGCAUCCCAGUGUAUUACCACCAUCUGCUGGUGACAGACAGGACAGCGGCAACAAAUUCAGCUCAGAUCAGAGGAAAGAAAUUCUUAGGGGUUUGGAAUUACAUUGGGUGAGUAAACAAAAUUAUUUUUCAUUUCAAG